UACGGGGGGGGCAAGCGUUGUUCGGAAUUACUGGGCGUAAAGGGCGCGUAGGCGGUUUGCUAAGUUGGAUGUGAAAACUCUGGGCUUAACCCAGAGCCUGCAUCCAAAACUGGCAAACUUGAGUACUGGAGGGGAAAGCGGAAUUCCUGGUGUAGCGGUGAAAUGCGUAGAUAUCGGGAGGAACACCAGUGGCGAAGGCGGCUUCCUGGCCUGUUCUUGACGCUGAGGCGCGAAAGCUAGGGGAGCAAACGGG
rnacentral:rRNA from 1 species